UGGGGAAUAUUGGACAAUGGGCGAAAGCCUGAUCCAGCCAUGCCGCGUGUGUGAAGAAGGUCUUCGGAUUGUAAAGCACUUUAAGUUGGGAGGAAGGGCAGUAAGCGAAUACCUUGCUGUUUUGACGUUACCGACAGAAUAAGCACCGGCUAACUCUGUGCCAGCAGCCGCGGUAAUACAGAGGGUGCAAGCGUUAAUCGGAAUUACUGGGCGUAAAGCGCGCGUAGGUGGUUCGUUAAGUUGAAUGUGAAAGCCCCGGGCUCAACCUGGGAAGUGCAUCCAAAACAGGCGGGAUAGAGUAGGGCAGAGGGUGGUGGAAGUUCCUGUGUAGCGGUGAAAUGCGUAGAUAGAGGAAGGAACACAAGUGGCGAAGGCGACCACCUGGGCUCAUACUGACACUGAGGUGCGAAAGCGAGGGGAGCAAACAGG
rnacentral:rRNA from 1 species